CCUACGGGUGGCAGCAGUGGGGAAUAUUGCGCAAUGGGGGCAACCCUGACGCAGCAACGCCGCGUGGUUGAUGAAGGCCUUCGGGUUGUAAAGUUCUUUAGUCGGAGAAGAUUUUUGCCGGUACCAGAAGAAUAGGCUCCGGCUAACUACGUGCCAGCAGCCGCGGUAAUACGUAGGGAGCAAGCGUUAUCCGGAUUUACUGGGGGUAAAGGGCGGGUAGGCGGGAACGCAAGCCAGAAGUGAAAUCUGGUGGCUUAACCCUCAAACUGCUUUUGAAACUGCGUGUCUUGAGUGAGGGAGAGGCAGGCGGAAUUCCCAGUGUAGCGGUGAAAUGCGUAGAGAUUGAGAGGAACACUAGUGGCGAAGGCGACCUGCUAGACAUUAACUGACGCUGAGGCGCGAAAGCGUGGGGAGCAAACAGGAUUAGAUACCCUGGUAGUC
rnacentral:rRNA from 1 species